UUUUUAUAUUUCUGUUUAUUCAUUUUUUCUUGUGUUCGUUACGGAUAUUUGGAGGUUUGAACUACAGAUAUCAUAAUUAUUUAUUUUACAUUAUAUCUUAUAUAUUAUGAAGCUAUAACCAGGUACUUUCUCUCCCUCCCCCUCCGUGCCACGACAGAUCCAACUCGCUGCUUGAGAGAGUGAGGGCCAAGGAGAGACAGGUCCGCAACACGGGCAAGUUUGUCUACUCUCUGGCACGACUCAUCUCCAGGAAAGAUUCGCUCACAAGUGCCUCUGAGCCCGCGUCCCGGAUCUCCCGUGGUCAGAGUCUGGGGGUCCGUGUGCUCCUCAAGAGACAACAGCUGCUGGGCGGCUCCAGGAUGGCCACUCUCAGCUCUCUGCUGGCCGCCAAGAAACGGCACUCGCUCAUUGACCAUUACAUCCUGCGGUUUGACGCCAAGAUGGUGUGGCGGAAGCUGAGACUGUGGGUGAGGAUCCGGAGCAUGCUGGGACGGAUACAUCAGGAGGUCAUUGACCGAGUCGU